CCAGCUUGGUGGCUCAGUGGAUAGAGAGACAGGCCUAGAGAAGGGAAGUUCUGGGUUCAAAUAUAGCCUCAGACAGCUGUUUGAUCCUGGGCAAGUCACUUAAUUCCAAUUGUCAAGCCCUUACUGCUCCUCUGCCUUGGAGCUGAUAUUUAGCAUCAAUUCUAAGACAGAAGAUAAGGGUGUGUAUAUAUAAACGUGUAUUUAUAUAUAUACACACUAUACACUAAUAUACAUAUAUGCUAUACACUAAUAUAGCAUAUGCACUAUAUAUACAAUAUACACUAAGUCAUAUGCUUAAGUAUAUGCAUAUGAUUUAGCAACUGAUUGGAUAUGGGGAGCAAGAAAGAGUGGAGGCCAUGGUGACAUCUAAGUUGCAAGCCAAGUUGACUGUGAGGAUGGUGGUAAUCCCAAAAGAAAUAAGAAAGAGGGCAACUAGAUGACCCAGUGGAUAGAGAGUGAAGCUUGGAGAUGGGGGUCUUGGAUUCAAAUGUGGCCUCAAACACUUCCUAGCUGGGUGACCUGAGUGAGUCACUUAAUCCUAAUUGCCUAGCCCUUAUGGAUCUUCUGCCUUGGAACCAAUACUUAGUAUCAAUUCUAAGACAGAAAAUCAAGAUUUUUUUUUAAAGUAAAAAACGAAGAGGAGAAGGUUUGGGGAAAAGAUAAUCUAAGAUUAGAAAAUCUAAUCUCAAUAACUUGAGUUUAAGAUAUUUAAGAGACAUGUUUCAUGGUGACUAAUAAGUGGUUGGAGAUUUGAGAGUGGAGACCAGGGAAAAGGUUAGAGCUAGACCAUUAAAUCUAAGAAAAAUAUAUGUAAAGACAGUAAUAGAAACAAUGAGAGCUAAUGAGAUCACCUUUUAAAAUAGAUACACACACAUAUUUAAAGAUUAGGUUUCUCUAUUUUCUUGACGUUGGAAGUACAGAAGCUAAUCACAUUCCCCAUCACAGUCUGAUCAACAUAGGAGUUUUGAGCUGCUUCAUUUCUCCCUGGGCAAUUUUGCCCCCUCCUUAGGAAAUCUGUUACCCCCCAAGCCCUACACCCAGGCAUUCUGCAUAUGAAUGCUGAACUUAGUGCAAUUUCCAGGUCAGCUUAGCACAGUGUAGCUUAGAACUUCCAAACUCAAGAAAUUCACCAGCCUCAUCCAUUCUUCAUAGGUAUACAUCAUCAUACCUGGUUUAGGCACAUAUUUUAAAUGCUAGAAAAUUCUGCUCUCUGUAGCUUAUUGAUACAUAUUUUGUAGUAAGCCAAAUCACACGUGCUACAGGAAAUGUAUGGUCCACCUAGUGGACAGUGACAAAUGAGGGCAGUUUUCCAGUCAGACCUAGAUGCUUUGUCACAGCUCUAUAUACACUCCCAAACAAACUUUGGUUGUUGUUGUUGCUGUUGAGUUGUUCAGUUGUGCCUGAGUCCCAUUGGCCAUAGCACACCAAGUCCUUUUAUCCUCCACUAUCUCUUGAAGUCUUCCUGAAAAUCAUAUUCAUUGGUGCCAUGACACUGUCUAGCCAUCUUGUUCUCAGCCAUUCUAUUUCUUUUGCCUUCAGUCUUUCCCAACACCAGGGUCUUUUCCAGUGAGUAAGUCUUGUCUUCUCAUUACAUGGCCAGAGUAAGCUUCAGCUUCCAUAUUUAACCUUCCUGUGAAUUUAUAGUUUGAAUUUAUUUCAGAGAAACUACAAAAACAAACUACAAAUGUCCUUUGUGUCCAGUUUAUGUAUUCACCUACCUAGGCUUUGAAGACUAAGUGGCAACUCCCUGGAAAGUUGGAGAGAGUAGUCAGAGGGAAGUGGGAUUAAGUUGACUUGGUUCGUAUCUCUGAGAAUCCAUAGAAUAUAGUGUGACAUUGGACCACUUUGUCGUAAUCUGUGUCACCCGGAAUUCAGGCAACAAGACUAUCUCACCACAUGGAGAGAACAUGACUGAGAGAGUCUAGACUAUUCUGUGUAUGUAUGUGUGUGUGUGUGUGCGUGCGUGUGUGUGUGUAUGAAAACACAGCACAGUUUGUAAGGAUGAAACUGAAUUAAACUCUCUAUGAAUGAUUGUCUCCUGGCAUAUAUGGAGCAUUGCAUCCACAAGAUUUUAAAAAUCUAAUUUGUUUUCUACAUAAACGAGAAUAUUUUGAGCUCUAACCAGAUCAAUUUUGCUGUUAUUCAAUUUGUUUCCUAGAAUUCUUAUCAUCCUGACAUUCAUCAGUGAAAGGAUCUUACUGUAACCAAAUAUAGUCCAUGAAUAUGAUAUUAUGAAUCCUAGGUUAACCUAAGCAGCAGCAUCAGUGCCCUACUUUUGACAGCAUAUAAAGGAAAAGACAUAAUCCAGAGAGAAUCUAAUUUAAUAUACCAAAAUCUGAAUUUAGGGGCUAUAAAUUGUGAGUGAUUAAAAAAAGACUUUCCAAAAGGGUUCACCAUAACUUUUUUACAACCAAUUCCCCAAAUACAGUUUAGUAUCUGGAGUAACAAUACCUUACAUCUGCAUAGGAUUUGACAGUUUGCAAAUUUUUCAAGAACAAAAUUUCAUUUGAAUCUUAGAAUAAUCCUGUGCAGUAGACAGGAUAGAUAUUAUUACGAAGAAGGAAGCUAGGAAGCAUAGUGGAGAGAAUGCCAGGCCUGGAGUCAGGAAGACUCAUCUUUAAGAUUUCAAAUGUGAUCUUAGGCAUUUCCUAGCUAUGUGACAGUGGACAAGUCACUUAACUCUGAUUUCUUUAGUUUCCUCAUCUGUAAUGUGAACUGUAGAAGGAAAUGGUAAAAUAAGAAAACUCCAAAUUGGGGCAUCUGGGUAGCUCAGUAGAUUGAGAGCAGACAUAGAGAUGGGAAAUCCUAAAUUCAAAUCUGGCCUUAGACAUUUCCUAGCUGUGGGAUCCUGGGCAAGUCACUUAACUCCCAUUGUCUAGCCUUAUGUGUAAUUGGAAAUCUUGUGUCUUUUGUGAAUUUUAGAUUUACUCCACCCUGCUUAGUCUUUAGAAUUUUAGCAACCAGGAAUGUAUACACCCCUAUUUAAGGAUUAAGUGUUGGAGAGGAUAGUCUGUGACUUGUGUGUGCUAGCAAUUGACAAAUCAGAAACAACUGACUGACCCCUUGGGCUGUCCUAAGCCAAGUUUAAGCCACCAUUGGUACAUGUGAGACACAGAAAGUGAUGCAAAGAACUGCCUUUUUAUUUCAUGUCACUUCCUGUGAGAGGGACUUUUGCGGCUUUUUGAGGUGGUUCUUGAUUUAUAGGGCUGCAGUGUGGAGACCUGAGACUGCUUCCCUUAGGAGACCACAUGAAGGGACCAAGGACCUUUCAGUACUGCUCAUGCUCAAGCCCCAGCUGAUCCAUCCUCAGCCUCAGUUCCCAAGCUGCUCUUGCCUGCAUCAGUGUAAGGUAGAUUCUUCAAUCAACUGAUGGAAUUGUAGGGUACGUGGAUGUUGGCUGGCUAAAGAGUCAGCAGCUUUUCUUCCUGUUCUUAAAAGCCAAGGUAAACUCUAAGGAGAGAAUCUUCAUUUCCAAUGAAAAAGAAAAUGGAGAAAAGAGGAAAUUGCUUUUUUCCUUUUUCCCUCGAGUCUCUUUCAGAGUUCAGUUGCUUUCUCCCUCCUCUCUCUCCUUACCAAGAGCAGUGUCCUACACUGGAGCAAUUCACCCAAUAGAAGAGUCCACAGCCAGCAGAAAGUGGACCUUGAGAGUACAGCUACUAUAAAAUCUAGCUAUGGAAAAGAACAGGCUCAGGAAGCCCAGCAGUUGACCUGUCCAGGAGAGUGGCCAAACUCAGGAGGAGCAGUAUGAAAACAUCAUUAUGCAUCAGUAUCAAAAAGCAUCAGUACCCUAUUGGAGAAGGAGCAACAUUUGCUACUAAUAUGGUCAGGCACACAGUGGACCUUGUUGCAUAGCUAGAAAAUCACCCAGCAUGCUCUGAGCUUCACAAAAUUUAGAAUUCAAGAGUAGGAAUAUUCUGGGAGCUAUCAGGCCACAACGCCUUGACAGAGUCAUGCAUGGUAGUUAAGGAGGCCACAGAGUGGCCCUUGGAAAGAUGUGAUUGCUCACUCAGUCCCCCUUGCAUGACCUCUCUCAUUAAUAUCUCUUACCUAUGAAGUUGACAUGAUUACUAUUCCCCCUAGUCUCAAAAGGAAUAAUGCAAAAGCAAAAAAACCUGUACCCUAAUUCUCCAAAACAUCACCAAAAUAUCAGACCCUCAAGCCCAAUCCCAAAAGACUACCAUGGGUUAACUUUUACUUAGACAAAUAAUUCCCAGUAAAACCACAGCUACUGGGCAAGCCCAAAGCAUUCCCACUCACAGAAACUUAUUCUCAUGAAGCCAAUACACAAAUCAAUCAUAAAGGCCCAUACAAAAUGUACAGGUACACUAAGCUUCAAUAUACCUCAGUUACUCGACUUUACAAACCAGUAAUUUGCCAGUGGGAAACUCCCUAGUAAACCCUGAGAAAUGAUUGGUCUAAUAUUAAAUUUUGUUCCCAGUACCUCUCAACCUCAAUGAUACAACUGCUGAAUUGUCUUUUAAGAACUUCUGAUUAAUUAUUCCAUUUUAUUAAAAGUAAUAAGUAAAUUUCCUUGAUUAUUUGUAAACUCAAAACUUCUCACAGGGUAAUGAGAAAAUUGAGCCACGUGUGACAAAAUCAUUUAUCUUGUAUGCUGUCUGUAAUCACAAUAUAAGAAUAUAGAAUGUUAAUCAAGUGAUUUCUUAAGAGUUAAUGUAUCACUUUUCCAAUUAUCUCCAUUUAGACAUGUGUGUUAGAUAAUGUAUCUGUGUGCCAAGAAAAUGGGUAUAAAAAUAAACACCAGGCCUGGGAAUGGAAGAACAGCUAUCAGAUGCAAAGCAGUCCCAUGGCCAUAAGGAUUAA